GUCCCGGUAACUCAGGUGGAUAGAGUGUCGGCCUCCUAAGCCGAAAGCCGCAGGUUCGAAUCCUGCUCGGGACACCA
rnacentral:tRNA from 2 species